CAGCCGCCACGGUAAUACGAAGGGUGCAAGCGUUAAUCGGAAUUACUAGGCGUAAAGCGUGCGUAGGCGGUUUGUUAAGUCUGCUGUGAAAUCCCCGGGCUCAACCUGGGAAUGGCAGUGGAUACUGGCAAGCUAGAGUGUGUCAGAGGAUGGUGGAAUUCUCGGUGUAGCGGUGAAAUGCGUAGAGAUCGGGAGGAACAUCAGUGGCGAAGGCGGCCAUCUGGGACAACACUGACGCUGAGGCACGAAAGCGUGGGGAGCAAACAGGAUUAGAGACCCGCGUAGUCCCUGUCUCUUAUAC
rnacentral:rRNA from 1 species